rnacentral:rRNA from 1 species
AGAGGAUUAGACCUGGUAGUCCAUGCCGUAAACGAUGUGUGUUAGACGUUGGAAAUUUAUUUUCAGUGUCGCAGCGAAAGCAGUAAACACACCGCCUGGGGAGUACGACCGCAAGGUUAAAACUCAAAUGAAUUGACGGGGACCCGCACAAGUAGUGGAGCAUGUGGUUUAAUUCGAAGAUACGCGCAGAACCUUACCAACACUUGACAUGUUCGUCGCGGCUCUAAGAGAUUAGAGCUUUCGGUUCGGCCGGACGAAACACAGGUGCUGCAUGGCUGUCGUCAGCUCGUGCCG